UGGAAUGAUCAUCUCUUCUUCAUCUGUAGC
rnacentral:piRNA from 1 species